rnacentral:sRNA from 1 species
UACAGGUGCAACGUAUUGCGAGGGAGUACGUACAGAAGGUUGAUGUUGCCUUCCAUUGGAUUCUAAACUUGUCAACUGCAGGACUUCUAAACGUAGUAUACUUUUUCCAGUCUUGCUAAAGAUAAGUUGGAAAACAUCUACAGAACGUUCAUAGAUGCAUGAAUUUCAAAAGAACCUGGAAAUGUCGCAACUGUUGAUCCAAAGUCUGGCUAUUGCAAUCCUCCUCGGCACGAUUGCGCAUCUCUUCGAUGGCGC